UUUUUUUUUUUUCUUUUUUUGAGAUGGAGUCUCACUCUGUUGCCCAGGUUGGAGUGCAGUUGUACGAUCUCAGCUCAUUGCAAGCUCCAACCCCCUAGAUUCAAGUGAUUUCUCCUGCCUCAGCCUCCCAAGUAGCUGGGAUUACAGGCACAGCCACCACGCCCAGCUAAGUUUUGUAUUUUUAGUAGCGACGGGUUUCACCAUGUUGGUCAGGCUGGUCUCGAACUCCUGACCUCAGGUGAUCCGGCCACCUUGGCCUCCCAAAGUGCUGGGAUUACAGGCAUGAGCCACUGCGCCCAGUUGAUUACUCAUGUAUUUUUCAAUCCCCAAAUGCACCAUCAAUUUGAGCUGACAUCCGUUCUUCCUCUCCACCAGCUGAAUCAGAGGGUGGACUAAUUGGACCUGACAUGUGCAAGGAUAAGGAGCUUUUUAACCUGAGAGCUGCCAGGCCUCCCUAAGUCUCUCAGGGACCUGCUCACAGGUUGCCAUGAAGGUGAAUUGAAAUAAGGUGUGCAGCGUGGUGAGCACAGUGGCCGGCACCCUGGGAGUCCUCAGUAUAAACGGUUAUUAUUUCACACAGGGUGUUGAUUGCGCUAAGCUGCCCAGGAGUGGCCUCUUGGCUGGUCCUAAGUGACUCAGUCCUCAUUACUCCCCACUUUCUGCCAGGUGCAUUCAGAGCAGCUUGGUUCAGACCUGGCCUUACUACUGCCACGCUGGUGGGGGUUGGGGUGGUGCUGGCCAGAGUGACCAGUCCUCUGGUCUCAACCCUCACCUAGGCCAGGGGGAGGACCUGACCUUAUGGGACGUUUCACAGGACUGGCUCCUCGUCUUUGCCCAUGGAUCUGCCUCAUCUCCCUCCCUCACCUGCUGGCCUGGUGGGAGGUGUCUACUUUUGUGUGCCCCUGUGUGCAUGCCUGGCCUUUCCUUUUUCUUUUGUGAGCUGUGCCAGAGGUUCCUGGUGCUGGCUGGCCUCAAAGAGCUGAGGGAAAAGCAUGCGGUGUGGAGCCACCCAGAGGGUAGAGCCUGGAUGCCUUCAUAGAUACCUGCCUUGCUGAGGUCAGGAGAUUCAAGCUCCCAUUCUGUGCGACUGUUGCUGCCACCACCCGGGGAGUAGGUAUCUUUGUUAAGAUCUGGGCUUGGAGUGGAGCCAGAGCCAGGGCAGGAGGGGCCUGCAGUCCAGAGCUGUACUCUCAUAUUCCUGGAUGGGAGAUGCCAAGCUCCUCAGUCCCCAAGGUGGCUGGAAGGGCCUGGGCUGUUAGAAGCUGCUGUGUUUUGAAAGAUGAUGUCCCCUCCAAAAUUCAUGUUGAAACUCAGCUCCCAAUGCAACAAUAUUAAGAGAUAGGGACUUUGGGAGGUGAUUAGGCCAUGAGGACUCCACCCUCAUGAAUGGGGAUUAGUGACCUUACAGAAGGGAUUCAGGAGGCAAAUUUGCCCCUUCUGACCCAUCUGCUACGUGAGGACACGGUGUUCUUUGUUCUGGAGGAUAAAGCCACAGGGUGCCAUAUGGGAAGCAGACAGCAGCCCUCACCCGCUGACACCUUGAAAAAUACAUUUCUGUUCUGUAUAAAUCACCCAGGCUGCAGUGUUCUAUUAGAGCAGCACAAACUGAAGACAGGAGUCUUGCUGCCAUUCUCCUCCAACCACCUGCAGACUUGUCUGUUUAACCCAG
ensembl:lncRNA